UACGUAGGGGGCGAGCGUUGUCCGGAGUUACUGGGCGUAAAGGGCAUGCAGGCGGUCGGACGCGUUUCGGGUGACAGCGGGUGGCUUAACUACCCGAGUGGUCGAAAGACGGUUUGACUUGAGGACGCGAGAGGGACACGGAAUUCCGGGUGGAGUGGUGAAAUGCGUAGAGAUCGGGAGGAACACCAGUGGCGAAGGCGAUCGUCUGGGGUUGUUCUGACACUGAGGAGCGAGAGCUAGGGGAGCAAACGGG
rnacentral:rRNA from 1 species